UAAUGGUAAAACACCGUUUCCCGUACGAUCACCAAAGUUAAGCAACGUCGAGCCUGAUUAGUAUCUAUCUGGGUGACCGCUUGGGAAAACCGGGUACUGUAAG